GACGAACGCUGGCGGCGUGCUUAACCCAUGCAAGUCGAACGGAGUGGCGAACGGGUGAGUAACACGUGGGUGAUCUGCCUUUCACUCUGGGAUAAGCUUGGGAAACUGGGUCUAAUACCCGAUAGUACAAGAUGAGCUCGCGGCCUAUCAGCUUGUUGGUGGGGUAAUGGCCUACCAAGGCGUCGACGGGUAGACGGCCUGAGCGGGUGUACGGCGACAUUGGGACGGAGGUAUGGCAGAGGGUGCGAAGGGUGGGAGCAGUGGGGAAGAUUGCACAAGGGGCGGAAGGUUGAUGCAGCGAGGCCGCGUGUGGGAUGACGGCUUUCGGGUUGUAAACUGCGGUCGGCAUGGAAGCGGUACCUGUAUAAGAAGAACCGGCUAACUACGUGCCAGCAGCCGCGGUAAUUC
rnacentral:rRNA from 1 species